rnacentral:lncRNA from 1 species
AUAAAACUCUGCAAAGACAAUGUCUAGCACUUAUAUCUCCAGUAACUCCUGUCAAGGUUUAUUGUUGCUUGUUCAUCAUUGCAGUCCUGACUACAAGUGUGAUUGCACUUUCUAUUGUUUUGUCAGGCAUAAGAAAUUAGACAUUGAGUCAAACGUUCUGUGUCUCAUUAGAAGCCAGCCUUGCUCAGUUUGCAACUAUGGAGGAACUGAAUUUCCUGAAAAGAUACAAAGGCCCUUCUGACCAUUGGAUUGGCCUUAGAAGAGAAUCAUCCCAUCGCAUUUGGAAAUGGACAGACAACAUGGAAUAUAAUAACAUGCUUGCUAUCAGAGGAAGUGGAGAAUGUGCCUUCCUGAAUGACAAUGGAGUCAACAGUGGCAGAAUCUACAUGAACAGAAAAUGGAUUUGUAGCAAGCCAAACAAUUAUGUCUACAGUUGCCA